rnacentral:rRNA from 12 species
UACAACUUUCAACAACGGAUCUCUUGGCUCUCGCAUCGAUGAAGAACGCAGCGAAAUGCGAUAAGUAAUGUGAAUUGCAGAAUUCAGUGAAUCAUCGAAUCUUUGAACGCACCUUGCGCUCCUUGGUAUUCCGAGGAGCAUGCCUGUUUGAGUGUCAU